UACAGAGACUGCGAGCGUUAUUCGGAUUCACUGGGCGUAAAGGGUGCGCAGGUGGCUAGGCGUGUUAGGCGUGAAAGCCCGGGGCUUAACCCCGGAAUUGCACCUAAAACUACUUGGCUAGAGCAUUGGAGAGGGGAGCAGAAUUCCUGGUGUAGCGGUGAAAUGCGCAGAUAUCAGGAGGAACACCAAUGGCGAAGGCAGCACUCUGGGACGUGACUGACGCUGAGACGCGAAAGCGUGGGGAGCAAACAGG
rnacentral:rRNA from 1 species